CAGAGUUGCAAAACUCCCAAACCCACUGUGAACAUACCUGUCCUUGUUCCUUCGGCAGGCGGCCCCCGGGGGGGCUUCGCCGUCGACCGGCGCCUGCCGAGGGACAACCAAAACUCUGCUGCUUCAGUGUUACCUCUGAGCAACUAAAACAAUAAGUUA
rnacentral:misc_RNA from 1 species